rnacentral:rRNA from 1 species
ACUGCUCAGUAACACGUGGAUAACCUACCCUUGAGUCGGGGAUAAACCCGGGAAACUGGGUAUAAUACCCGAUAGAUCUCGACUGCUGGAAUGCAUCGAGCUUUAAAGCUCCGGCGCUCAAGGAUGGAUCUGCGGCCUAUCAGGUAGUAGUGGGUGUAGCGUACCUACUAGCCUACGACGGGUACGGGUUGUGAGAGCAAGAGCCCGGAGAUGGAUUCUGAGACACGAAUCCAGGCCCUACGGGGUGCAGCAGGCGCGAAAACUUUACAAUGCUGGAAACAGCGAUAAGGGGACCUCGAGUGCCAGGUUACAAAUCUGGCUGUCGUGAUGCCUAAAAAGCAUUGCAUAGCAAGGGCCGGGCAAGACCGGUGCCAGCCGCCGCGGUAACACCGGCGGCUCGAGUGGUAACCGUUAUUAUUGGGUCUAAAGGGUCUGUAGCCGGCCGGAUAAGUCUCUUGGGAAAUCUGGCAGCUUAACUGUCAGGCUUUCAGGAGAUACUGUCUGGCUCGAGGCCGGGAGAGGUGAGAGGUACUUCAGGGGUAGGGGUGAAAUCUUGUAAUCCUUGAAGGACCACCAGUGGCGAAGGCGUCUCACCAGAACGGACCUGACGGCAAGGGACGAAAGCUAGGGGCACGAACCGGAUUAGAUACCCGGGUAGUCCUAGCCGUAAACGAUACUCGCUAGGUGUCGGCCACGGUGCGACCGUUGUCGGUGCCGUAGGGAGGCCGUGAAGCGAGCCACCUGGGAAGUACGGCCGCAAGGCUGAAACUUAAAGGAAUUGGCGGGGGAGCAC